ACAAGGUCAGCUAGGCAUUGAAGAGUGAGAGUGGAAUGUUGGGUGUAUAAGCAUUCUGCUUAAAGGGUUUGAUUCAUUCCUCAAGUUCUAUGGAUACAGGAAGAGGCACCAUUCCAAAGUUCAUACGAAAGGUUCUCUCUGGCAAAUGCAGAAUUCAGAGAGAAGAUGACCUGUGACAUCCCCAGAUAGGAGUGACAAGCAGCAGAGUGAGGUCUUAUUCUCCUGGUAGGCAUAGAUAACCUGGCCAUUCUGGGCACCUCCCUAGUACCUUGCUGGGGAAGGACUCAAGAUACCAAAUUAGGGGAGAACCUGAGACCUAGUGCAGGAAAUAAUUGAAGUCAGACAAGGCACAUUGCAAUAGUCUUUCCAAAGCCAGAGGUUCCAAAUGACUACCUCUGACUUCACAGGUUUUUAUAUUUUAGUUUAUUCACAGCCAGCACACCUACAUUGCUAUUCCACAAAUGCCUGAAGCUAAAUGUGAAAAAUUUUCCCAGUGUCCUGGGAUCACCAAGGGACAAAGCUGUGGAAUUUGUAAAGAUGACCCAAGCUCCUGGAGUUAUGCCAGUCACCCUUGAUGAGACUGGAGAUCAGCUCCAGGACCAAACUGUUGUUUUAAAACCCUCCACACCAGAGGUCACAAGAAGCCAAUCUCAUAGCAUGGAGAAGAAGGCAGAAUUAGCGUUCCAGUGCACUCAGCUCCUCAGUGACUUGUGCUUGGAUGGCUGAAGCUUCAAAUUGCUAUGCUAAAUACAUCAAGUAAUUCACAUAGGUAAUAAAUUUAGGAACACAACAGUCUUCCUGCAAAACUACUCUCUCUUCUGCCUCUCCCUAAGAAAGAAAAAUAUAAUUUCAACUUUGUCUUCUCUC